GGGCCCGCACAAGCGGUGGAGCAUGUGGUUUAAUUCGAUGCAACGCGAAAAACCUUACCUACCCUUGACAUCAUCAAAAUUUUAUAGAGAUAUAAAAGUGCCUUAGGGAAUUGGUAGACAGGUGCUGCAUGGCUGUCGUCAGCUCGUGUCGUGAGAUGUUGGGUUAAGUCCCGUAACGAGCGCAACCCUUAUUUUUAGUUACCAGCGGGUUAAGCCGGGAACUCUAAGGAUACUGCCAGUGACAAACUGGAGGAAGGCGGGGACGACGUCAAGUCAUCAUGGCCCUUACGACCAGGGCUACACACGUGCUACAAUGGUAGGUACAGAGGGCAGCUACACAGCGAUGUGAUGCGAAUCUCAAAAAGCCUAUCGUAGUCCAGAUUGGAGUCUGCAACUCGACUCCAUGAAGUAGGAAUCGCUAGUAAUCG
rnacentral:rRNA from 1 species